rnacentral:tRNA from 1 species
GGGAGUAUAGUUAAAUCGGUAUAACAUAUGUUUUGCGUAUAUAAGGUACAGGUUCGAGUCCUGUUAUUUCCA